GAACCAUAGUUUAAAAUUCAAAGAUCUUGGCGGUGUCUUAUAAAACCAGGGGAACCUGUCUCAUAACUCGAUAAUCCACGAAUACCCAACCUCUUUUUGAAAUCCAGCUUGUGUACUGCCGUUGUAAGCAUACCUUUAAAAGAAAUAGUGUGCCGUCAUGAUUAAUUAACACUUAGCUCAUGUACAUCAGGUCAAAGUGCAGUUAAUGCAGAGGUGAUGAUGGGUUACAACCUAAAAAAAGAUAUGAAAUAAAAAAUAAAAAAUUUUAUGAAAGUGGACUUGGCUGUAAUCAACAAAUAUAUUAAAUAAAUGAACAUCUACCUAA
rnacentral:rRNA from 1 species